rnacentral:lncRNA from 1 species
AUGAAACUAAGGAGGACUAGCAACGAGAACUCAAAAAGGAAUUACGAGGUGUCUCUUCUCUUAGUCAUCUCGAUUUCGAUUUGGUUAAGAUAUCUCCUCUUAUUUAUCUGGAUUUCAGUUUGGUGGAGAAAUGAUGAAUGCAUGUCGAUUUGUGUAUCUCAUACGAAUGUGUAGCUGAUUGGUUCAUUAAUUUGUGUCAGCAAAAGAGAGAGUAAAGCUGGCAACUGUCGAUUUGACUGCUUCAACUGAAGAAGAAGGCAAUGUGAACUCAGUUGAAGAAGAAGACGUGAACUUUGAGAAGAAUUUAAGGAACUCAGGUGAAGAAGAUGGCGAGAGGGGAUCUUAGGAGAACUCGGGAC